rnacentral:rRNA from 1 species
UGUGAAGCGGCAAGAAGCUCAAAUUUGAAACCCUCGGGAUUGUAAUUUGAAGAUUUGGCAUUGGAGAAAGCUAACCCAAGUUACUUGGAAUAGUACGUCAUAGAGGGUGACAACCCCGUCUGGCUAACCGUUCUCCAUGUAUUGCCUUAUCAAAGAGUCGAGUUGUUUGGGAAUGCAGCUCAAAGUGGGUGGUAAACUCCAUCUAAAGCUAAAUACUGGUGAGAGACCGAUAGCGAACAAGUACUGUGAAGGAAAGGUGAAAAGAACUUUGAAAAGAGAGUGAAAUAGUAUGUGAAAUUGUUGAUAGGGAAGGAACAUGAGUGGAGAGUGGUUUAGUUCAGCCUUCUUUCGAGGGGGUGUCUACCAAGCCGAGUCUUGUGG